UGAGCAAUCUGCCCUUCUCUUCGGAAUAAGCGUUGGAAACGACGUCUAAUGCCGAAUACGACCUCCUUUCGCAUGAUCGGAGGUGGAAAGCUCCGGCGGAGAAGGAUGAGCUCGCGGCCUAUCAGCUAGUUGGUGUGGGUAAUGGCCCACCAAGGCGACGACGGGUAGCCGGCCUGAGAGGGUGACCGGCCACACUGGGACUGAGACACGGCCCAGACUCCGUACGGGAGGNAGCG
rnacentral:rRNA from 1 species